rnacentral:rRNA from 1 species
ACAGCAGUAGCCGCGGGAAUGCGAAGGGUGCAAGCGUUAAUCGGAAUUACUGGGCGUAAAGCGUGCGUAGGCGGUUUGUUAAGUCUGUUGUGAAAUCCCCGGGCUCAACCUGGGAAUGGCAAUGGAUACUGGCAAGCUAGAGUGUGUCAGAGGAUGGUGGAAUUCCCGGCGUAGCGGUGAAAUGCGCAGAUACCGGGAGGAACAUCAGUGGCGAAGGCGGCCAUCUGGGACAACACUGACGCUGAGGCACGAAAGCGUGGGGAGCAUACAGGAUUAGAUACCCCGGUAGUCCCUGUCUCUUAUAC